rnacentral:rRNA from 1 species
GACGAACGCUGGCGGCGUGCUUAACACAUGCAAGUCGUACGGAAAGGCCCCUUUUUGGGGUGCUCGAGUGGCGAACGGGUGAGUAACACGUGAGUAACCUGCCCUCAGUUCUGGGAUAAGCUUGGGAAACUGGGUCUAAUACUGGAUGUUCAUCUCGCGGCGCAUGUUGUGGGGUGGAAAGCCUGCUCUUUUGGGGUGGGUGGCUGGGGAUGGGCUCGCGGCCUAUCAGCUUGUUGGUGGGGUGAUGGCCUACCAAGGCUUUUACGGGUAGCCGGCCUGAGAGGGUGUUCGGUCACACUGGGACUGAGAUACGGCCCAGACUCCUACGGGAGGCAGCAGUGGGGAAUAUUGCACAAUGGGCGGAAGCCUGAUGCAGCGACGCCGCGUGAGGGAUGACGGCCUUCGGGUUGUAAACCUCUUUCAGCCUUGACGAAGUCGCCUGUCGCUUUGGUGGUGGGUGGUGACGGUAGGGGCAGAAGAAGCACCGGCCAACUACGUGCCAGCAGCCGCGGUAACACGUAGGGUGCGAGCGUUGUCCGGAUUUAUUGGGCGUAAAGGGCUCGUAGGUGGUUUGUCGCGUCGAUAGUGAAAACCUGUGGCUUAACUGUGGGCUUGCUGUCGAUACGGGCAGACUUGAGGUAGGCAGGGGAGAAUGGAAUUCCGGGUGUAACGGUGGAAUGUGCAGAUAUCCGGGGGGAACACCGGUGGCGAAAGCGGUUCUCUUGGGCCUUACCUGACGCUGAGGAGCGAAAGCGUGGGGAGCGAACAGGAUUAGAUACCCUGGUAGUCCACGCUGUAAACGUUGGGCGCUAGGUGUGGGAGACCUUUGUUGUUUUCCGUGCCGUAGCUAACGCAUUAAGCGCCCCGCCUGGGGAGUACGGCCGCAAGGCUAAAACUCAAAGGAAUUGACGGGGGCCCGCACAAGCGGCGGAGCAUGUUGCUUAAUUCGAAGCGACGCGAAGAACCUUACCUGGGUUUGACAUGCAAACUAAAGCCGUAGAGAUACGGUGUCCCUUUGUGGGGUUUGUGCAGGUGGUGCAUGGCUGUCGUCAGCUCGUGUCGUGAGAUGUUGGGUUAAGUCCCGCAACGAGCGCAACCCUUGCCCCAUGUUGCCAGCGGGUUAUGCCGGGGACUCGUGGGGGACUGCCGGGGAGAACUCGGAGGAAGGUGGGGAUGAGGUCAAGUCAUCAUGCCCCUUAUGUCCAGGGCUGCUAACAUGCUACAAUGGUCGGUACAGUGGGUUGCGAGACCGUGAGGUGGAGCGAAUCUCUGAAAGCCGGCCUCAGUUCGGAUCGGGGUCUGCAACUCGACCCCGUGAAGUUGGAGUCGCUAGUAAUCGCGGAUCAGCAACGCCGCGGUGAAUACGUUCCCGGGCCUUGUACACACCGCCCGUCAAGUCAUGAAAGUUGGCAACACCCGAAGCCCAUGGUCUAACCCCCUUCGGGGGGAGGGCGUGGUCGAAGGUGGGGCUGGCGAUUAGGACUAAGUCGUAACAAGGUAACC